GUUAAGUGGGUGGCGGGGACUGCGGGAAGAGUAAGUGGGCUAGCUUGGUUCGGAAUUACUGGGUGUAAAGAGCGGGUAGGCGGGUGUACAAGUUGGAGGUGAAAGCCUUGAGCUCAACUCAAGAAAUGCAUUCAGGACUGGAUGACUAGAGGACCGGAGAGGAUAGUGGAAUUCCCAGUGUAGUGGUGAAAUACGUAGAGAUUGGGAAGAACACCAGUGGCGAAGGCGGCUAUCUGGACGGUUUCUGACGCUAAGACGCGAAAGCGUGGGGAGCAAACAGGAUUAGAUACCCUGGUAGUC
rnacentral:rRNA from 1 species